CACCUGCAGACCUGCUUCACCACCUGCCAGCUUCAGAGAUGGGAGGAAGAACAAGCCUGGCAGAGGUGCCCAUUCCAUUCCCAGCUUACCAUUAGCUGCUGGACUGGAAGACACUGCAGCAGUG
rnacentral:snoRNA from 1 species